rnacentral:rRNA from 1 species
AUUGAACGCUGGCGGCAGGCUUAACACAUGCAAGUCGAACGAGUGGCGGACGGGUGAGUAAUGUCUGGGAAUCUAUCUUAUGGAGGGGGAUAACUACUGGAAACUGUAGCUAAUACCGCGUACCAUCGGAUGAUCCCAAGUGGGAUUAGCUAGUUGGUGGGGUAACGGCUCACCAAGCCGACGAUCCCUAGCUGGUCUGAGAGGAUGACCAGCCACACUGGAACUGAGAAACGGCCCAGACUCCUACGGGAGGCAGCAGUGGGGAAUAUUGCGCAAUGGGGGCAACCCUGACGCAGCCAUGCCGCGUGAAUGAAGAAGGCCUUCGGGUUGUAAAGUUCUUUCAGUAACGAGGCGUUAACCGCAGAAGAAGCACCGGCUAACUCCGUGCCAGCAGCCGCGGUAAUAC